AUGGAGGCGCUUUCAGAGAUUCAUGCUGAGGAGACUCGCUUACUUGGUGCUGGUUUGCUGGAGGUUCCCUCUGUGCUUGCUACUCGGGCUUAUUCCACUCCACCUGCUGCACCGACCCCUUCUCGCUCGAGUGCUCCGCCGCUCUUGCCCACUCCUUCUGGAGGCUCAGGUCGCCCCCGUCCACAUUGUGACUACUGCAACAAUGAUGGGCAUAUUGAGUCCCAGUGCUACACGAAGCGGAAACACCUGCGCAAGGCGCGAUCAUCAUCUUCAGGGACUUCGUCAUCUGCCUCGACAGCUUCAGCCAUUGCUUUGACUGAGCAGGAUAUUCUGAUACUUAAGCGUCUGCUUGCGGCUUCAGGUUCUUCCUCGACGGGUACUGCUAGUCUGUGA
rnacentral:rRNA from 1 species